rnacentral:lncRNA from 1 species
UAGGAAAUGGAAGGAUUUGAGGAAAAGAUAAUUUCUGUUUUGAACAUGUCAGGUGUCUACAGGACGUCCAAUUGUAUCUAGUUGUAUUGGAUAUACAAGACAGGGAAGGAUUUAGAAAAGAGGCUAGGACUAGAAAAACAGAUCUGAGUUAGCUGCAUCAUUUUUUAUUCUUUGUUUCUUUCUUUUUUCCCUUCCCUCCCUCCCUCUUUCUGUCCUUCCUUUCUCUAUCUCUCUUUCUUUGUUUCUCCUUCCUUCCUUCCUUCCUUCCUUCCUUCCUUCCUUCCUUUCUUUCUUUCUUUUUUUUUCUUUUUCUUUCCUUUCUUUCUCUC